CGAAAUCGGUAGACGCUACGGACUAAAAUCCGUCGACUUUAAAAAUCGUGAGGGUUCAAGUCCCUCUAUCCCCA
rnacentral:tRNA from 16 species